rnacentral:lncRNA from 1 species
CCGACUAUAAAUAAAGAGAGGAGAGUAAUUUUGUCCCAACACCUUACGAAUUUCGGGUCCACAAACAAUAUCUCUCUGUUCGAAGGUUCUCGUAUUGUUCUAAAAACACUCUCUCUGUACGUAGAGCCCUUAGUAUGGACCCAUUUCAAUAAUUUUGUAGGCUUUGUUGAAUUAAUUAUUUACAAAAAAAAUAAUUUUAUUAAAAUUCAUAAGUUAUAUGAUUCGAUUGCAUUUGUUUUAAAAAAAAUAAAUGGCUGUACAAAUUUUUUCGUAUACCAUACAACAAAUGUCAAUUAAUCUUAAGUUAAUUGAUGUUCGAUUGACUUGAUGCUUUGUAAAGGUCAUAAGUUUAGCAGACUUAUAAAAUGAAUGAUUAAGAUUGUAAAGAUCGUAAAGAGAGCACUUAAGAACCCGAAUAAUGUUUAGGUGAUAAAUUAUUAUUAUUUUUUGUCAAUUAUUUUAUUUUAUCGGUUCUUCUCAGUUAGAGGAAUUAAAAGAAAAAAAAAAGUGUUACAAAAACUAAAUUUUUUUGAAUUGUUAGACAAAAACUUUUUGGAUUCCUCUAAUUGAUACAGAUAACAAAAGCAAAAUAUUGAUAAAAAAAAUAAAUUAAAUUAUUUUGAUCCAAACACAACCUAAAGUAUGCUAAUUAAGUAUUUUAUGAGAAACUAUAUUAAGGCUCCAUUUGGUAAUGAUUAAAAGUCAAGUUUUUUUUAAGUUUACUAUAAAAAAAAAUCAAGAUUUUUUAGUUUUUUUGCUUUUCUGGCAUUACUUUAGUUACAAAUAAACAAAAAAAUAAAAAUAAAAAAGUCAACUAUGACUGAUUUUUUUACUUAUAAACUUAAAAAAAGUCAAACGAAAAAUUGAUACUAAAUGGAGCCCAACACUAUGGCCUUUUAGAUAAAUUUGGAUUUGUUUUUGUUUUAAGCAAAAUUCUUAUUUUUUCAAUUUGUCUUGAUCACAAAAAUUAAUAUGCAAAAAAUAAUAAUAAAAUAUAAAAUUAAUAAAAAAAAUUACGAAAAUUCUAUUUUAUUGGAAACCAGGCCAAUAAUUUUUUCUCUGAGUGGUGUUCAGACGGGCUUGAGCCCGUGGUAUUACCACAGGCUUGCCUAGGGGUGGAUGUGAUAAUUUUUUUUUAAAGUGGGAUUCACUCCAAAUGGGUGGACGUGAGCGCGCCACGUAGACGAGCUAUCGAGCCCAACUGAACACCACUUUUUUCCCUCUCCCAAAGGGUUGGACGCAAGAUCACACGUGUAAUCCCAGGAAUCAUGACCACUGUACAAGAGGUCAUCAGUCAUUUGGUGGACCAAUAGAGUCAAAGCAGGUGGUUUAAAGCUGGUAAGCUCACGUACAUUGAUUCAAUGGGAAAAUUAAUGGGGCUUGUCGGGGGAGCUUUAGAAAUUGGAACUCCAACAUAAUUUUUUAUUAAAGUUGUUGAAUUAAUUACGAAUAUUUUCCAGUUGUUAAAGUUUAGACAAAAGCUACAAUACACACUAUUUAAAGGUACAAAAAUAGUCAUAGGAUAAUUUAUUUGAAUUUAAAUUUUUAAAUAAAUUAAUAACUAAUAAUGAUAAUUUGAAUAACUGGUUAAACCUACUUUUAUUAAUCGUAUUGAUAUAUUUGAUAAUUUUAUAAAUUUUUAUUAUUCUUUUAUGAAUUCUUUAUGAUAUUUAUGAUUUUUUUAUGAACUCUUAUGAAUAUAAUUAUAAAAAAAAUUUAGUAACUUCAAAGCAUAAUUUCUGUAUGGAGCCCGCUAUUUAAAAAUUAAUUUUAUGAAUUUUAUUGAUUUGAUUAUGAAUUUUAUUGGUUUUGUUAUGUUUUUGCCAUUGUUCUAAAAUAUUUUGUUAUAAAUGAAUUUGUAAUGAAUUAUAUUGGUAUAUUUAAUAAUUUUUAUAAAUCUUUAUAGUUUGAUUAUUAAUUCUUAUGAAUAUAAUUAUAAAAAUUUUAUAAAAAAUGUGCUUAUGUUAUGAAUUAAAAAAUAAUUUUAUUAGAAUUGGUUAUUAAAAUAACAUUUAGUUGCCUAGCAAUACUUUGAGUUUAUUAACCUUUUAACGACGGAGUUUGUUUUAAUCAACAUAAUUUGUAAGGUGAGUGACCAUUAUUGUACUCUAAGUGGAUAUUUGGUAACGUUGUCAUUUUUUUUUCUAUUUGUUUAGUUUUAUUUAUUUUUUUACAAAACAAAAAUAAAAAAUAUGUUUGUGUUCACCUAUUUUUAAACUAUUUAAAACAAAAACAUGGUAGCGGUGUUGGAGACGGAGAUCGUAUAGGAGGAUGUGGCGGCGGUGUUGGAGACGUGACGCGCGUGGCAGCUGCAGUGGAGACGUGCACGCGUGAAUAAUACCAUAGCCGAAAAUGAGCUUUGUAAUCAAAUGAACCCCUCCAUUUUGUUGUUUUCACUAUUUUAAGAAAUAGUGAUAUUAGUUUUGCCUUAUUUUUAAUUAUAAAUAGUAACACAAAUAAAUUUUUAUUUAUAUUUAUACUAAAAAAAUAAAACAAUUACCAAACAUUCCAAAAUAUUGGGCAUAGUUGUAUAACCAAUCAAUGAGAAAAUACAUAUUUUGGUAGUGGAGAGGCUACAGAACUGGAUUCAUAGUGUGAGACAAAUCUCACCUCAUUCGUUUGUAGUAUCAAAUUGGUACUCAAUGUGGGAUACAAUUAUUUUAAAAUAGUACACUUAUCUUGGAAUGGAUUUAGGAUUCUCAUUAUGUAAGGCAAAUAUUGGGGGUUAACUUAUAUAAUUUUUGAAUUAUAUUAAAAUUUAUAGUAUAAUUAGUAUUUUUUUUAAACUUUUAAAGGUACGAUCGCACACUUACGUCUCCUAGAUCCAUCUUGGUUGUAUCCUAGGCUGGGUGUUUACAUAAUCAUAGAGGUAUGAUUGUAUUCAAACUAGCCAACUUAACCCCUUUUUAUUCCUUACAUGGGAAGACUAUUCUUUAACUCAUGAAAGGGAUGAGUUUAAAUGUGAUAGAACAAUUUUAUAUGUAAUUAUAACGGGUCCCACUAUUCGUUUCUCAUUGGCCUAAAUCCAACCAAACAAGAGGUCAAAAAAUUGUAUUAGUCCCUCAAUUAAAUAUGCGCAAUAGUUGGUCAAAAAUUGAUGAAAAAAAAUAAAUAGCCAUUUAUUUAGGGGUGAUAAGCAAACUGAACUAUUUAAUCGUAAAAAUCUUGUUUGAGAUCGUUUUACUUGUUAAAUAAAUCAAGAUCGAUUAUAUUUUUAAUGCUCAUUAAGUUUUGAAAACAAAUUUGAAUAAUCUGUUAUUCGGCUCGUCUAGCUUGUUUAUCGACCCAGUUUCAUUUUCUUUUUUUUUUUUAAUUUUUUUUUUCUAAAAUUAAAUUUCCCCUCCCACCAUUUUUCUGUUUCUUUUUUAAAAUUUGGACAACUCAUCCUCCCAAAUUCAUGAACUAAAACCCGAACGGAGCGCAAUGUAAUAAAGAAAAGAAAUCAGCAAUCAACGUAAUCAGAUCUGAUGCAUCUUAUAAUAAAAGGGAAAAAAAAUCCAAUGCGUAUUUCGUCUUCGAAGAACUCUAUUUCGCGGAUCUCUCUCUCCUUACAGCAUAUAUUGGAUCUAUUGACUGGCUUUGAUUCAUAUCGUUUUCGAGUAUAGAUAUCCACAUCGCAUGUAAUUCCUCUUCAUCGCAAUUCGUAUGUUCAUCUUUUCAAGUUCUUUAUACAGUCUUUGAAUCAUCGCAAUCACUUUACUCUAUGGCUAAAAAAUCGAAACUCGCUUCGUUUCAAUUGAUCUGUGGCUUCUCAUGCCACGAUCUGAUCCAAUUUUGCUUCUCUGUUCUAUAAUCUAUUACGGUGAAUAUUUGACUCCAGACUGUGUUCAUUUCCUUUUUCGAUUCAUGUUGUAUAUAUGUGUAUAUUUAUAUUCACUGUUUUGAUGUGAUUAUACUAAGAACAGUGGUGGAGUCAGGAAUUUAUUGUGAUUUUUUUGUUUGAUCAACAAAGUCUGUAAAUCAAAAUUAAAUUAACGUUCUGUAAAUCAACAAACCCUCUAAAAUUAACGAACAAUGCGAUUUUAUAGGGGUAGAUGAGAUAUAUAUAGGGGCAUUAGUGUGAUUUUCAAAGAUGGAAUGGGUUCAGAUUAACCGACAAUUUGAUUCUUGAAAGGUGCUAGUUUGAUUUUACAGGGGUAGAUGAGAAAUAUAUAGGGGUACUAGUGAGAUUUUUAAUGAUGGUGUGGGAUCACCGGCCCUAUGGUGAAUCCGCCAUGGAUUGAGAAGUGAGAUUUAUUUUUUGAAUUUUUUUCCACAUUAAUGUUUUUUUACAGGUGAAAGAUGGCUGAAAUUCUGCUUCGUGGAACUCUUCAUGUUACCAUCUAUGAGGUUGAUAGGCUGCACAGCGAAGUAGGUGGGCCGAAUUUAUUCUCAUAUAUGCCAUUUGGAUUCAUAUUGAUUGUUUGAUUUAUUAGUUCAUAAUUGUAAUGUGUUGUGAAACCUGUAUAUAUGUCUACAUAUACACAUACUAUUACAUAGAUACGAAUAUUGAUAAUACGAAAUUGAAUUCUCUAAAAUUGAAAUUUUCAGCAUUUUCAGAUCUGAAUCCAGAUACAGUUUAAGCUAAUUGUGUUGCUUGAAGAGUAAAAAAAACUGAUGUAUGUCUGAACAUUUUGGUAAUUACAUAACUCCUUUUAGGGGUUUGUCUAACUCUAGUUUCGCAGUGUUGGAUCUGCAAAUGUCUCUUUUUGAGAAAUUCUUACAUUGAUGAAUAACAGCAUCCAUACCAAAUCAGAUAUCUUUGUAUAAAUUAAGUCAUUGAAACUAAGCCAAAAAUGGUGCAAAUGGUUGAUGAAAUUUUCUUUAUUUCUUUGUGUCGAAGAUCGAGAUCAUUAUGAAUCCCAAAGAUAGUUGGUCCCAGUAAACAAGUGAUUUCUGCCUUCUUCAAAAGUGCUAGAUACCUUAUGUUGUUAAUUUACUACACGCAGGAAAUUAAACAGAGCUCAUAAUUUUGUGAUACAAUUGUUCUUUUUUUUUUUGAAUAGUUUUGUGUGUAAUGU